AUGCUACUCCUUCCGUCCAGAAAUACUUGUCGGAGGAAUGGAUGUAUCUAGACAUAUUUUAAUUCUAGAUACAUCCAUUUUUAUGCAUUUCUGCGACAAGUAUUUCCGGAUGGAGGGAGUAUUAU
rnacentral:pre_miRNA from 1 species